ACACGGGGCUCGAACUCACAAACAGUGAGAUCAUGACCUGAGCUGAGAUUGAAGUCUGUUGUUUAACGAAGUGAGCCAUCCAGGUGCCCCAAUAAUUCUAACUACCCUUAAGUGGAGCUAUGUUGUGCAGGGAGAGAAGGUGUAUGGUGUAUACUAAGGUGUUUGGUAGAAUGGUGGAAUGAACAGCAUUUUAAAGUAGAAUUUUGGCUUUUGUAUUCUAGUCCCUAGCCACCCAUUCUGCUGCCCUUCUGGUUGCUGAUAUCCCAAAAUGCCAGGUCCGCUUUUUGCCAUAUUUUGGCAGCAUUCUAGUUGCUGGACUACCAUUACUCUCAAAACUUGCCAGGCCCUGGUCUUUUACAAGAUGAUAAUCUAAGAAAACGGAUCACUAUUGACGUCUUCAUGAAUGCUUACUUAUUAGGGGACAUCUUCCCAGGAUCUUUGUGUAGUUUACUGGAGGUUUUUACAACAAUGACCUAAUCUAGUUGAAUGACUCCAAACUUGAGACUUCCAGGAUGCAGGUGCAUAUGCUAUCCUCCAAAUUCCAGGUGAACAAGUGGUAGACUUUCCACAUAAAAGUCCAACUUUUGAUCUGCUUAGGGCCCUAAAGAGUUAAGAAAUUUACCUUUCUCUUAGUCUUUUUUUUUUUUCUUAACUAUAACAAAAUUGCAUAUGAGGCCUCCCUCCCUUAUAGGUAGAAUGUUAUGGACCAAGGUAUUUUGGUAGCAUAAUGAGAUAAUAUACAUGAAGACGCUUUGAAAAAUACACAAUCUUAUACAAACUGUAAGGUUCUAUGAUUAAAAUUAAUUUUAUCAUUUUUUUUAAGUAGGCUCCACCCCUACGUGGGGCUUGAACUCACAACCCUGAGAUCAAGUCACAACCCUGAGAUCAAGAGUCAGAUGCUCUACCAACUGAGCCUCCCAGGUGUCCCUAAAAUUUUAGAGCACAUUGUUCAUUACUGUAUUAAUAUUACUAUAAUGGUAAUAAAAUGGGAAGCUGUUAAACACAUAUCCAUCUUUCCAACAGUGUUGUCCUAAGUCCAGGAGGAAGCUUUCAAAAUGGGAGCCUGGCCAAUUGCAAACCUUUCUCUGGACUUACUCUCCUCACCCCAGACCCAGCUACUAAGGAAGCCAGUUUUGGAACAUGGAAAGAUGGAUUGGAUGCAGUUAGGAGCCCUGAUCUCAUCUUGAUGUCAGACAGGAAGUAACAGCUAUAUGCCAAAGGCAGAGAUGUCCCAGACACUCCUAACAAGCUGGAGCUGGAUGGAAGGACCAGUCCAACAAACUUUCUUGGCUCUAAAAGGUUUUAAAAUUUUCCUCCAAAAUAAAGUUACAGAUAAAUGAAAGAACUGGAGAGUAAUUUGUGCUGAUGUGCACAGAGUCACUUUACCCCACACUACCUCAGAGCACACUGGGGAUGUCAGCAGGGCGCUUAUCCUCCUUUGAGCAAGUUACCUCCUUUCAGAGGGAUGCCAGGAGGAAAAGCAGAGGCACGUGCUAUAAGGAAGGAGUGAGUGCUGAAUGCAUCCUGGCAAGUAGGUAACCCUUGGAACUGAAUGUUCUCACCCAGGUCCUUUAGCAACAAAUGUAUUCUACUUCUGA